AUGUGUGUUUCUUUCUCAGUAAGGACUAACUUUAACUGACUUUCUGUCUGUCUGUCUGUUCUCAACCAAACGGUCAUUCAAGACCUUUUAAAGCAAAAACAUUUCCCGUGCAAGUUUGAAUCUCUCUCAGUAAGGACUUAUUGACUGGCUGUCUGUUCUCGACCAAACGGUCAUUCUUACUCAUAAAAAACUUUUAAAGCACAAGUGUGUCCCGCGCAAGUUUGAAUUUCUCUCAGUAAGGACUGACGGAUGGCCAUUCACUCAUAAAACCUUUUAAAGGUUAGCAUGAAUGCAUCCAGCAUAAUUUUGGAUCUUUACCAUUGAGGAGACUGGCUGACUGUUCUCAACAAACCAUCAUUCACACGCAAAAAC